rnacentral:rRNA from 1 species
UACAGAGGGGGCGAGCGUUAUUCGGAAUUAUUGGGCGUAAAGGCGCGUAGGCGGCCUUUCAAGUGACGGGUGAAAUCCCUCGGCUUAACCGAGGAACUGCCUGUCAGACUGGAAGGCUUGAGACCGGGAGAGGUGAGUGGAAUUCCCAGUGUAGCGGUGAAAUGCGUAGAUAUUGGGAGGAACACCAGUGGCGAAGGCGGCUCACUGGACCGGUACUGACGCUGAGGCGCGAAAGCGUGGGGAGCAAACAGG